UUUGCUUUCCGAAAACCAUGGGGGCCUAAAAGCCCGCGAUGAAACAGGGUUUUGAUACUGUUAAAAAACGACGUCGUGUUUGUUCCGAACAGAUCGAUUCCUACAAAAUUUCACUCUCAUGGUUCAAUUCAAUUCUUAACGCUGGUGGCUGCGGCGAAUGUAUUGGUGGCGCACGCUUCAAUCUCUGCUGUAGUGAUUUUAUUUAAAGGGAAGAGAAGUUAGAAUUAAUCGUAAAAGAGAAGGGGGAAUCCUUGUUUCCUGAUGGCUGCUUCUUCAAAGGGUCUCAUCCCUGAAACUCAAACUCAGAAUGAAGAUUGGACCAUUGUUUUACCUCGUCGUGGCAAGCAAAGAAGAAAUUUACCUAGAAUUAUAACUCCUGAAGAACAACAGAAACCAUGGUGCCCAACGGAAAUUGAAUCUGAUCCUCAUAGAGUAUCAAAGUUAUUACAAAGGAUGCAGAACUGCAUCAAAAAAACGGAGAGCUCUCACUUCUAUCAAAAUUUUGUUAAUCAAAUACAAAGUCCAGAUGUCUUGAGUUGCUUUUAUAGUAUUUUGGGUUCUGAGUUGAAGAUGCAAAUGGUGAUUUAUGGUAUUGGCAGCAUUGAAUUGUAUGAACCCCCUCGAUUGCAGCUUAGCCUUGCGAUCUUGAUGAAAAGAAAGUUCAGUUGGAUUGGCGACAUAGAGGUGUUUGAUCCAAUUCUUUCUGCAACAGAAGCUCGGGUUUUCGAAGCCCUUGGUUGUUCUGUCCUGUCAGUUAACGAACAAGGCCGCCGAUGUGCUAUAAAGCCAACACUUUUCUUCAUGCCACACUGUGAAGCAGAGUUGUAUAACAAUCUUUUGCAGGCAAAUUGGGGAGCAAUGUUAAAACGCAUUGUAGUGUUUGGAAACAGCUUUGAGAUGUACCACCAGCAUGUCUCAGAGUUUAAGAGCUCAACUAUUGUCAAUACAGCUAAGAACGUUUUAGCUGUUCGAAGAUUCACAAAUGAAUUUAGCAUUGAUAUUAUUUCAGAUGAUUAUUUUGCAGCGUUUCAUGAUUCAGAUCGCUUCCUACAAAGUUUCACUCUCAUGGUUCAAUUCAAUUCUUAAAAAUGGUGGCUGUGGUGGCUGUUCUUGGCAGUGCUUCAUUUCCAGUGGCGGCUGUGGCGGAGGCUUCAAUCUCUUCUGUUGUGAUUUUAUUUUGAAGUUUGGUUUGAAAAAAGUUCUUAAACCACACCUCUACCUCCAACAACAAAGCAUUAAGGUUUUACAAUCAUAAUCUCUAGUUUAUUACAAUGGUGAGAAAACGAGAAAGAAUGCAAAACUCUCAGCCUUUUCUUUUUGUUGACGAUGGCAACUUGAUGGCUUCUUCGAAGAAACGAUCCAAACUUUCCAAACACCACCAAAAGGAAGAUAAAAUGAUUUCCUCUGGAAUUAGUUCCAAGAUUUUGAAGGAAGCGCUGAUUCGGCAGGAGGAGGUUCUUGAAGAGGCUGAAGAGUCUAAUAACAAUGCCUUUGUUUUCUCCAAAGACGACUGGAGUUAGCAUUGAGUUGAAGAAGAAGAAGAGAAUAUUGAUGAUUUUGGUGGUUUCUGUGAGACUCAAAGUCAAUUGGGCAAUCAUGAGGUCUGUGAUACGUUGUCUGUACUUCUAUAUCUCAAAUUGGGAAAUUUUAUCCGGUGAAAAAAUGAAACCUGUUAUAAGAAAAACAAGGCUUGCAUUUUGGAAUUUGUAACUGUUUGAAUUGUAAUGUAGGAUGUGACUUGUAAAAUAUUGUAAAUAUGGUAUUUGGUACAACAAGUACUAUUCUAUCUUUUUAAUUGGAAAAUUUUGGGCUAA